rnacentral:rRNA from 1 species
UACAGAGGGGGCAAGCGUUGUUCGGAAUUACUGGGCGUAAAGGGUGCGUAGGCGGUUGUUUAAGUCUGUCGUGAAAUCCCCGGGCUCAACCUGGGAAUGGCGAUGGAUACUGGGCAGCUAGAGUGUGUCAGAGGAUGGUGGAAUUCCCGGUGUAGCGGUGAAAUGCGUAGAGAUCGGGAGGAACAUCAGUGGCGAAGGCGGCCAUCUGGGACAACACUGACGCUGAAGACGAAAGCGUGGGGAGCAAACAGG